rnacentral:rRNA from 1 species
AUGUUAGAGCAAAACAUCUCAAUACUGUGUUGGAAUGUGCGUGGCUUGAACUGCCCAGACCGUAGAGCCACGGUCCAUGAAACAAUUGCUACAUCCUCCUGCCAUCUUGUUUGCCUACAGGAAACAAAGCUUCAGGUCAUUGACAGUUUCAUCGCUACAUACCUUGGUGGUUACCGAUUGAAGAAUUUCGCUUACAAACCUGCUGAUGGAACUAAAGGAGGCAUAUUACUCCUUUGGGAUGAUAAUGUGGUGAACAUUUCCAAUGUCCAGAUUGGAUCAUAUUUUUUUCCGGAGAUGUUGCUGUCAAGAAUUCUACGGAGAGGAAUAACUUCAAGCUUACCACUGUAUAUGGGCCAACUAGAAGCAUUCACAAAGACGCAUUUUUUCUCGAGCUAUCCUCCCAGAAAUCGUCGCCAGGGACAAAAUGGCUGGUUAAUGGGGACUUCAACCAGAUUUACCGGGCCAGAGAUAAAAACCACUCCAAUGUUGAUCAUAGCAGAUUAG